rnacentral:rRNA from 1 species
GCACAACGCGAAGAACCUUACCCACCUUUGACAUGUACGGAAUCCUUUAGAGAUAGAGGAGUGCUCGAAAGAGAGCCGUAACACAGGUGCUGCAUGGCUGUCGUCAGCUCGUGUCGUGAGAUGUUGGGUUAAGUCCCGUAACGAGCGCAACCCUUGUCCUUAGUUACCAGCACGUCAUGGUGGGCACUCUAAUGGGACUGCCGGUGACAAACCGGAGGAAGGUGGGGAUGACGUCAAGUCCUCAUGGCCCUUAUAGGUGGGGCUACACACGUCAUACAAUGGCUGGUACAGAGGGUUGCCAACCCGCGAGGGGGAGCCAAUCCCAUAAAGCCAGUCGUAGUCCGGAUCGCAGUCUGCAACUCGACUGCGUGAAGUCGGAAUCGCUAGUAAUCGCGGAUCAGAAUGUCGCGGUGAAUACGUUCCCGGGUCUUGUACACACCG